UACGUAGGGUGCAUGCGUUGUCCGGAAUUAUUGGGCGUAAAGAGCUCGUAGGCGGUUUGUUGCGUCGGCUGUGAAAUCCCGAGGCUCAACCUCGGGUCUGCAGUCGAUACGAGCAAACUAGAGUGUUGCAGGGGAGACUGGAAUUCCUGGUGUAGCGGUGAAAUGCGCAGAUAUCAGGAGGAACACCGGUGGCGAAGGCGGGUCUCUGGGCAACAACUGACGCUGAGGAGCGAAAGCGUGGGGAGCGAACAGG
rnacentral:rRNA from 1 species